ensembl:lncRNA
AUGCCUCUCCUUAAUGUCAAUAUGUCUUGUCCAUUGCUGUUCUGGUUAGUGUUUAUUGGCUUAUUUCACUGUAGAGCCUCUAGUCCUGCUCACUAUACCUUAUCCAACCUAUUAGUUCCACCACCCACACAUGCAAUGACAUCUCCUGGUUUCAAUGAUGUUUCUAGAGACAAUAUCUCUCUCUUCAUCACUCAAUACCUAGGUUUACCUCCACUGUAUUCACAUCCUACCUUACCUUUGUCUGUACAUUAUACCUUGAUGCUAUUUUAUCGCCCCCAGAAACCUCCUUUUACUCUCUGUUCCAGACGUUCUAGACGACCAAUUCUUAUUGCUUUUAGUCGCACCCUUAUUCUACUCCUCCUAUGUUCCUCUGGCGAUGUAGAGGUGAAUCCAGGCCCUGCAGUGCCUAGCUCCACUCCUAUUCCCCAGGCGCUCUCUUUUGACGACUUCUGUAACCGUAAUAGCCUUGGUUUCAUGCAUGUUAACAUUAGAAGCCUCCUCCCUAAGUUUGUUCUAUUCACUGCUUUAGCACACUCUGCCAACCCGGAUGUUCUAGCUGUGUCUGAAUCCUGGCUUAGGAAGACCACCAAAAAUUCAGACAUUUUAAUUCCAAACUACAACAUUUUCAGACAAGAUAGAACUGCCAAAGGGGGCGGUGUUGCAAUUUACUGCAAAGAUAGCCUGCAGAGUUCUGUCCUACUAUCCAGGUCUGUACCCAAACAAUUUGAACUUCUACUUUUAAAAAUCCACCUUUCUAAAAACAAGUCUCUCACCGUUGCCGCCUGCUAUAGACCACCCUCUGCCCCCAGCUGUGCUCUGGACACCAUAUGUGAACUGAUUGCCCCCCAUCUAUCUUCAGAGCUCGUGCUGCUAGGCGACCUAAACUGGAACAUGCUUAACACCCCAGCCAUCCUACAAUCUAAACUUGAUGCCCUCAAUCUCACACAAAUUAUCAAUGAACCUACCAGGUACCUCCCCAAAGCCUUAAACACGGGCACCCUCAUAGAUAUCAUCCUAACCAACUUCCCCUCUAAAUACACCUCUGCUGUCUUCAACCAAGAUCUCAGCGAUCACUGCCUCAUUGCCUGCAUCCGUAAUGGGUCAGCGGUCAAACGACCUCCUCUCAUCACUGUAAAACGCUCCCUGAAACACUUCAGCGAGCAGGCCUUUCUAAUCGACCUGGCCGGGGUAUCCUGGAAGGAUAUUGACCUCAUCCCGUCAGUAGAGGAUGCCUGGAUAUUUUUUAAAAAUGCCUUCCUAACCAUCUUAAAUAAACAUGCCCCAUUCAAGAAAUUUAGAACCAGGAACAGAUAUAGCCCUUGGUUCUCCCCAGACCUGACUGCCCUUAAUCAACACAAAAACGUCCUAUGGCGUUCUGCAUUAGCAUCGAACAGCCCCCGUGAUAUGCAGCUGUUCAGGGAAGCUAGAAACCAUUAUACACAGGCAGUUAGAAAAGCCAAGGCUAGCUUUUUCAAGCAGAAAUUUGCUUCUUGCAACACUAACUCAAAAAAGUUCUGGGACACUGUAAAGUCCAUGGAGAAUAAGAACACCUCCUCCCAGCUGCCCACUGCACUGAAGAUAGGAAACACUGUCACCACUGAUAAAUCCACCAUAAUUGAAAAUUUCAAUAAGCAUUUUUCUACUACUGGCCAUGCUUUCCACCUGGCUACUCCUACCCCUGUCAACAGCACUGCACCCCCAACAGCAACUCGCCCAAGCCUUCCCCAUUUCUCCUUCUCCCAAAUCCAUUCAGCUGAUGUUCUGAAAGAGCUGCAAAAUCUGGACCCCUACAAAUCAGCCGGGCUAGACAAUCUGGACCCUUUCUUUCUAAAAUUAUCUGCCGAAAUUGUUGCCACCCCUAUUACUAGCCUGUUCAACCUCUCUUUCGUGUCGUCUGAGAUUCCCAAAGAUUGGAAAGCAGCUGCGGUCAUCCCCCUCUUCAAAGGGGGGGACACUCUUGACCCAAACUGCUACAGACCUAUAUCUAUCCUACCAUGCCUUUCUAAGGUCUUCGAAAGCCAAGUCAACAAACAGAUUACCGACCAUUUUGAAUCUCACCAUACCUUCUCUGCUAUGCAAUCUGGUUUCAGAGCUGGUCAUGGGUGCACCUCAGCCACGCUCAAGGUCCUAAACGAUAUCUUAACCGCCAUCGAUAAGAAACAUUACUGUGCAGCCGUAUUCAUUGAUCUGGCCAAGGCUUUCGACUCUGUCAAUCACCACAUCCUCAUCGGCAGACUCAACAGCCUUGGUUUCUCAAAUGAUUGCCUCGCCUGGUUCACCAACUACUUCUCUGAUAGAGUUCAGUGUGUCAAAUCUGAGGGUCUGUUGUCCGGACCUCUGGCAGUCUAUGGGGGUGCCACAGGGUUCAAUUCUUGGACCGACUCUCUUCUCUGUAUACAUCAAUGA